rnacentral:pre_miRNA from 1 species
GUAGUAUUCCCUCCAUCCCAAAAUUCUUGUCUUACAUUUGUUUAGAUACGGAUGUAUCUAACACUAAAAUGUAACUAGAUACAUCCGUAUUUAGACAAAUUUAAGGCAAGAAUUUUGGGACGGAGGGAGUACAAA